rnacentral:rRNA from 1 species
UACGGGGGGAGCAAGCGUUGUUCGGAUUUACUGGGCGUAAAGGGCGCGUAGGCGGCCACCGCAAGUCGACUGUGAAAUCUCUGGGCUUAACCCAGGAAGGUCAGCCGAUACUGCGGGGCUAGAGUGCAGAAGGGGCAAGUGGAAUUCUCGGUGUAGCGGUGAAAUGCGUAGAUAUCGAGAGGAACACCUGCGGCGAAGGCGGGUUGCUGGGCUGACACUGACGCUGAGGCGCGAAAGCUAGGGGAGCGAACGGG